CAAUUAAGUAAAUGCUUUCUGGUUAGUUUGUGGAAUUUCUGGGCACAAACUGACUAAACCUCUGAUCAGUGCUUUUCAAACUUGGGCUUAUUUCUUACCUCAGGCUCACAUGGAGAUGGCUGCCAGCCCUCUGUGGCUGGUUCAGCAUGUCUGUUCCCAGGCCCAGGAAUCUGUAUUUAGUUAAGAUUAAUUGUAACUUCUCCAGGCAGUCAAAUAUUUCUAGCUUCCUGAGUUUGGUUUAGGUUUUGUUGAGUUGAAACAACUUGCUUAUCUUAAUCAAAAUAGCAGUGCAUAUUCAAGGCCUUUGGUUUCCUCAAGGUGCCAAGAAAGAGGGAGCUGCUGGCUUCUUUAAAGGAAUUGGAAAAGGACUUGUGGGUGCUGUGGCUCGUCCAACUGGCGGAAUCAUAGACAUGGCCAGCAGCACCUUCCAAGGCAUUCAGAGGGCAGCAGAAUCAACUGAGGAAGUAUCUAGCCUCCGUCCACCUCGUCUGAUCCAUGAAGAUGGCAUCAUCCGCCCAUAUGACAGGCAGGAAUCUGAGGGCUCUGAUUUACUAGAGGUAAAUUUUGUUCUUUAUGGUCCUGCGUGAAAUUUUAAAGAUUCUAAGACCAAUAUUUCAUGAGUGGUUCUUAAAGUACCUGAUUCAUGAAUUUCUUUGAAGG
rnacentral:lncRNA from 1 species